UACGGGGGGGGCAAGCGUUGUUCGGAAUUACUGGGCGUAAAGGGCUCGUAGGCGGCCAACUAAGUCCGACGUGAAAUCCCCAGGCUUAACCUGGGAACUGCGUUUGAAACUGGGAGACUUGAGUGUGGCAGAGGGGGGUGGAAUUCCACGUGUAGCAGUGAAAUGCGUAGAUAUGUGGAGGAACACCAGUGGCGAAGGCGGCUCACUGGACCGGUUCUGACGCUGAUGCGCGAAAGCGUGGGGAGCAAACGGG
rnacentral:rRNA from 1 species